AUUGAACGCUGGCGGCAUGCCUUACACAUGCAAGUCGAACGUGAAAGCGGGGCAACCCGCAAGUAGAGUGGCGGACGGGUGAGUAAUACAUCGGAACGUGUCCAGUAAUGGGGGAUAACCUAGCGAAAGUUAGGCUAAUACCGCAUACGAUCUGCGGAUGAAAGCGGGGGAUGCGGCACUAAAGGCUUUUGGCGAAGGUGGCCAAAGGUGAGUCAAGAGCUUUUAGUGCNGCACCUCGCGUUAUUGGAGCGGCUGAUGUCUGAUUAGCUAGUUGGUGAGGUAAAGGCUUACCAAGGCGACGAUCAGUAGCUGGUCUGAGAGGACGGCCAGCCACACUGGGACUGAGACACGGCCCAGACUCCUACGGGAGGCAGCAGUGGGGAAUUUUAGGACAAGUGGGGGCAACCCUGAUCCAGCCAUGCCGCGUGAGUGAAG
rnacentral:rRNA from 1 species